GUAGGGUGCAAGCGUUAAUCGGAAUUACUGGGCGUAAAGCGUGCGCAGGCGGUUUUGUAAGUCUGAUGUGAAAUCCCCGGGCUCAACCUGGGAAUUGCAUUGGAGACUGCAAGGCUAGAAUCUGGCAGAGGGGGGUAGAAUUCCACGUGUAGCAGUGAAAUGCGUAGAUAUGUGGAGGAACACCGAUGGCGAAGGCAGCCCCCCUGGGUCAAGAUUGACGCUCAUGCACGAAAGCGUGGGGGGAGCAAACAGGAUUAGAUACCCUGGUAGUCCACGCCCCUAAACGAUGUCUACUAGUUGUCGGGUCUUAAUUGACUUGGUAACGCAGCUAACGCGUGAAGUAGACCGCCUGGGAGUACGGUCGCAAGAUU
rnacentral:rRNA from 1 species